AUGGAGUACAAGCCGCCGCAGUAUUGCCGCUGUGACAUGAAAGCCCCGAGAUGGAUCUCAUGGAGCCCGAAGAACCCAGGGAGGAGGUACUACAACUGCGGCAAAGCACUGGGAGUCGACUGCAGAUAUUUUAUGAGCAUGUUGCUUGGUGAUUUGCGCGAUGUUGUGUAUCGACUGAAGGAUCAAUUGAGGAAUGAAAAUGACUUGCUCAACGCCAGCUUGUCGAAGAACAAGAUGUUGGAUGCGUAUGUGUGUGAUUUGGAAGUCAAGCAUCAUGGAGAAGUUGUUGUCCUGAAGAAGAAGAUUCGGAAACUGCGGUUCUGCCUUGUGGUUGCUGUUCUGUUUUGCCAUUUCCUUCUUUUGGAAAUGAUUUACAUCAUAAAAAAAUAG
rnacentral:rRNA from 1 species